UUUUUUUUAUUGUCAUUAGGACC
rnacentral:piRNA from 1 species